UGGAGAGAUGUCCGAGUGGUCGAAGGUACACGAUUGGAAGUCGUGUGUGCCCGAAAGGGUACCGAGGGUUCGAAUCCCUCUCUCUCCGUACC
rnacentral:tRNA from 1 species